rnacentral:rRNA from 1 species
AAACCAGCACCUCAAGUGGUCAGGAUGAUUAUUGGGCCUAAAGCAUCCGUAGCCGGCUCUGUAAGUUUUCGGUUAAAUCUGUACGCUUAACGUACAGGCUGCCGGAAAUACUGCAGAGCUAGGGAGUGGGAGAGGUAGACGGUACUCGGGAGGAAGGGGUAAAAUCCUUUGAUCUCUCGAUGACCACCUGUGGCGAAGGCGGUCUACCAGAACACGUCCGACGGUGAGGGAUGAAAGCUGGGGGAGCAAACAGGAUUAGAAACCCCAGUAGUCC